rnacentral:rRNA from 1 species
AGCCUACGGGGGGCAGCAGUGGGGAAUAUUGCACAAUGGGGGGAACCCUGAUGCAGCGACGCCGCGUGGGCGAUGGAGUAUUUCGGUAUGUAAAGCCCUAUCGGCAGGGAAGAAGCUGACAGUACCUGACUAAGAAGCCCCGGCUAACUACGUGCCAGCAGCCGCGGUAAUACGUAGGGGGCAAGCGUUAUCCGGAUUUACUGGGUGUAAAGGGAGCGUAGACGGCGAUGCAAGUCUGAAGUGAAAGGCGGGGGCCCAACCCCCGGACUGCUUUGG